ACGGGGAUUACACGGAGAUGCGAUUUCGGUCAAAUCAAGUGCAAUCUUAGUGGCGGACGGGUGAGUAACGCGUGGGUAACCUGCCUUGCACUGGGGGAUAACACUUAGAAAUAGGUGCUAAUACCGCAUAAGCGCACGGUCCUGCAUGGGACAGUGUGAAAAACUCCGGUGGUGCAAGAUGGACCCGCGUCUGAUUAGCUGGUUGGCGGGGUAAAGGCCCACCAAGGCGACGAUCAGUAGCCGGCCUGAGAGGGUGGACGGCCACAUUGGGACUGAGACACGGCCCAAACUCCUACGGGAGGCAGCAGUGGGGGAUAUUGGACAAUGGGGGGAACCCUGAUCCAGCGACGCCGCGUGAGUGAAGAAGUAUUUCGGUAUGUAAAGCUCUGUCAGCAGGGAAGAAAGCAAUGACGGUACCUGACCAAGAAGCCCCGGCUAACUACGUGCCAGCAGCCGCGGUAAUACGUAGGGGGCAAGCGUUAUCCGGAAUUACUGGGUGUAAAGGGAGCGUAGACGGCUGUGCAAGUCUGGAGUGAAAGGCGGGGGCCCAACCCCCGGACUGCUCUGGAAACUGUAUGGCUGGAGUGCAGGAGAGGUAAGCGGAAUUCCUAGUGUAGCGGUGAAAUGCGUA
rnacentral:rRNA from 1 species